UACGUAGGGGGCGAGCGUUGUCCGGAUUUAUUGGGCGUAAAGAGCUCGUAGGCGGUUCGAUAAGUCGGACGUGAAAUCUCCACGCUCAACGUGGAGGGGCCGUUCGAUACUGUCGUGACUCGAGUCCGGUAGGGGAGUGUGGAAUUCCCGGUGUAGCGGUGAAAUGCGCAGAGAUCGGGAGGAACACCCGUAGCGAAGGCGGCACUCUGGGCCGGUACUGACGCUGAGGAGCGAAAGCGUGGGGAGCAAACAGGAUUAGAUACCCUGGUAGUCCACGCCGUAAACGUUGGGCACUAGGUGUGGGACUCUAUCGACGGGUUCCGUGCCGUAGCUAACGCAUUAAGUGCCCCGCCUGGGGAGUACGGCCGCAAGGCUAAA
rnacentral:rRNA from 1 species